rnacentral:rRNA from 1 species
GGGAAUACGCUCUGGAAACGGAGAACAAAUCCCGAUGUACAGGAAGGAGGCAUCUUCUUUCUGUGAAACAUCCUUUAGGGGAUGGGGCGCGGAUGGACCUGCGGUGCAUUAGUUGGUUGGCGGGGUAAAGGCCCACCAAGACGAUGAUGCAUAGCCGGCCUGAGAGGGCGGACGGCCACAUUGGGACUGAGACACGGCCCAGACUCCUGCGGGAGGCAGCAGUAGGGAAUUUUCGUCAAUGGGCGCAAGCCUGAACGAGCGAUGCCGCGUGAGUGAAGAAGGCCUUCGGGUCGUAAAGCUCUGUUGCGGGGGAAAAAAGGCAGCAUCAGGAAAUGGGUGCUGACUGAUGGUGCCCCGCCAGAAAGUCACGGCUAACUACGUGCCAGCAGCCGCGGUAAUACGUAGGUGGCGAGCGUUAUCCGGAAUGAUUGGGCGUAAAGGGUGCGCAGGCGGUCCUGCAAGUCUGGAGUGAAACGCAUGAGCUCAACUCAUGCAUGGCUUUGGAAACUGGAGGACUGGAGAGCAGGAGAGGGCGGUGGAACUCCAUGUGUAGCGGUAAAAUGCGUAGAUAUAUGGAAGAACACCAGUGGCGAAGGCGGCCGCCUGGCCUGUUGCUGACGCUGAGGCACGAAAGCGUGGGGAGCAAAUAGGAUUAGAUACCCUAGUAGUCCACGCCGUAAACGAAAAG